rnacentral:rRNA from 1 species
UACGGGGGUGCGAGCGUUGUCCGGAAUCACUGGGCGUAAAGGGCGCGUAGGUGGCUUUGUAAGUUUGCGGUGAAAGCCCGGGGACUCACCCCGGGUCUGCCGUGGAUACUGCAAGGCUUGAGUACUGUAGAGGCAGGUAGAAUGAUCGGGUGUAGCGGUGGGAAUGCGUAGAGAUCCGAUAGAAGACCGGUGGCGAAGGCGGCCUGCUGGGCAGUAACUGACACUGAGGCGCGAACACGUGGGGGAGCAAAACAGG